rnacentral:lncRNA from 1 species
GCGGCGGGCCCAGCGCCACGGCCUGGAACAGGUAGCAGAGCCAGACGCCGAGCACCCCGAGCAUGCCGAUGGCGAGCGACCCCACGGCCAGGAACACCGCCCAGACCUGCGCCAUCCUGACCUCUCUCUGUCUUUCCUGUCUCCUCUCGUCGAGGGCGCGUUGGUGGCAGUUACAGGCUCAGGAGCGUGGCAGACGUCGUGGAAAUAGCAGCACGGAUGCAGAGGACGCAGGGUGUGCUGCAUUUAAACACUGUAGCACUGGGCUAUCUAAUCGUAUGGGCCGAAAAGGCCAGGUAGAGAUCAAAUGAGCACCCCGC